rnacentral:rRNA from 1 species
UACAGAGGUCUCAAGCGUUGUUCGGAUUCAUUGGGCGUAAAGGGUGCGUAGGCGGCGCGGUAAGUCGGGUGUGAAAUCUUGGAGCUUAACUCCGAAACUGCAUUCGAUACUGCCGUGCUUGAGGACUGGAGAGGAGACUGGAAUUUACGGUGUAGCGGUGAAAUGCGUAGAUAUCAUAAGGAAGACCAGUGGCGAAGGCGGGUCUCUGGACAGUUCCUGACGCUGAGGCACGAAGGCCAGGGGAGCAAACGGG